rnacentral:rRNA from 1 species
AACGAACGCUGGCGGCGGGCUUAACACAGGCAAGUCGAACGGAAAGGCCCUGCUUUGGUGGGGUGCUCGAGUGGCGAACGGGUGAGUAACACGUGAGUAACCUGCCCUUGACUUUGGGAUAACUUCAGGAAACUGGGGCUAAUACCGGAUAGGAGCUCCGGCGGCAGGGGGGGGGUGGGAAAGUUUCGGCGGUUGGGGAUGGACUCGCGGCUUAUCAGCUUGUUGGUGGGGUAGUGGCUUACCAAGGCUUUGACGGGUAGCCGGCCUGAGAGGGUGACCGGCCACAUUGGGACUGAGAUACGGCCCAGACUCCUACGGGAGGCAGCAGUGGGGAAUAUUGCACAAUGGGCGGAAGCCUGAUGCAGCAACGCCGCGUGCGGGAUGACGGCCUUCGGGUUGUAAACCGCUUUCGCCUGUGACGAAGCGUGAGUGACGGUAAUGGGUAAAGAAGCACCGGCUAACUACGUG